AGACCCGAAACCCGGUGAUCUAGCCAUGGGCAGGUUGAAGGUUGGGUAACACUAACUGGAGGACCGAACCGACUAAUGUUGAAAAAUUAGCGGAUGACCUGUGGCUGGGGGUGAAAGGCCAAUCAAACCGGGAGAUAGCUGGUUCUCCCCGAAAGCUAUUUAGGUAGCGCCUCGUGAAUUCAUCUCCGGGGGUAGAGCACUGUUUCGGCUAGGGGGCCAUCCCGGCUUACCAACCCGAUGCAAACUGCGAAUACCGGAGAAUGUUAUCACGGGAGACACACGGCGGGUGCUAACGUCCGUCGUGAAGAGGGAAACAACCCAGACCGCCAGCUAAGGUCCCAAAGUCAUGGUUAAGUGGGAAACGAUGUGGGAAGGCCCAGACAGCCAGGAUGUUGGCUUAGAAGCAGCCAUCAUUUAAAGAAAGCGUAAUAGCUCACUGGUCGAGUCGGCCUGCGCGGAAGAUGUAACGGGGCUAAACCAUGCACCGAAGCUGCGGCAGCGAACGUAUCACCCAAGACAACUUUACGGAGUUGACGAUUGACGGAGCGAAGCGACGUCAAAGCGUUCAUUAAAGUCGAGUUGGCUUAGGGAUACGUUCGUUGGGUAGGGGAGCGUUCUGUAAGCCUGUGAAGGUGUGUCGUGAGGCAUGCUGGAGGUAUCAGAAGUGCGAAUG
rnacentral:rRNA from 4 species